UUAAUUCAAUGUAAGCAGAGAAUUGUGUACCAUUGAACAUUUUUUAUAACCUUUCCAACAGUGGCUUGUACUAAAAAGAAAAAAAAUCUAUCUUUAUUGAUUCUUGCUUGCGCUGGAAUAUUACACAGCCGAUGCGCGACCCUUAGUCGUGAACAGUGUUGGUCGGGGAAUUUGACUGCGGCGGUACGUCUGUCAAACGGUAACGCAGGUGUCCCAAGAAGAGCUAAUCGUGGACGGAAACCACACGUCGAGCAAAAGGGCAAAAGCUCGCUCGAUCUUGAUUUUCAGUACGAUCUUCAUUUUAGAAUAAGAUUUUAAAAGUUUUUAGGUAUUUAAAAA
rnacentral:ncRNA from 1 species